rnacentral:rRNA from 1 species
AGAGUUUGAUCAUGGCUCAGGAUGAACGCUGGCGGCGUGCCUAAUACAUGCAAGUCGAACGCGAAGCCCUUGGGAAACUGAGGGUGGAGAGUGGCGGACGGGUGAGUAACACAUGGCUGACCUGCCCUUCAGAGGGGGACAACUGCUGGAAACGGCAGCUAAUACCCCAUACGCUCAUCGGGACUAGAAGCCGGUGAGGAAAGGUUGAGGCGCUGAAGGAGGGGGCUGUGGCCCAUCAGCUAGUUGGUAGGGUAACGGCCUACCAAGGCGAGGACGGGUAGGGGGCCUGAGAGGGUGGUCCCCCACACGGGCACUGAGAGACGGGCCCGACUCCUACGGGAGGCAGCAGUAAGGGAUAUUGCGCAAUGGGCGAGAGCCUGACGCAGCAACGCCGCGUGCGGGAUGACGGCCUUCGGGUUGUAAACCGCUUUUCAGGGGGAAGAGGAAGGACGGUACCCCUGGAAUAAGUCUCGGCUAACUACGUGCCAGCAGCCGCGGUAAUAC